rnacentral:rRNA from 1 species
UACGUAGGUGGCAAGCGAUACUCGGAAUCACUAGGCGUAAAGCGCAGGUAGGCGGUUUGGUAAGUCUUUUGUGAAAGCUCCCGGCUUAACUGGGAGAGGUCAAAGGAAACUACCGGACUAGAGUUUGGUAGGGGAUACUGGAAUUCCUGGUGUAGCGGUGAAAUGCGUAGAUAUCAGGAGGAAUACCUAUGGCGAAGGCAGCACUCUGGGACGGUACUGACGCUGAGACGCGAAAGCGUGGGGAGCAAACAGG